UACGAAGGGGGCUAGCGUUGCUCGGAAUGACUGGGCGUAAAGGGCGCGUAGGCGGCGCAGUUAGUCAGGCGUGAAAUUCCUGGGCUCAACCUGGGGACUGCGCUUGAUACGGCUGUGCUUGAGGAUGGAAGAGGCUCGCGGAAUUCCCAGUGUAGAGGUGAAAUUCGUAGAUAUUGGGAAGAACACCGGUGGCGAAGGCGGCAAGCUGGUUCAUUACUGACGCUGAGGCGCGACAGCGUGGGGGAGCGAACAGG
rnacentral:rRNA from 1 species